rnacentral:rRNA from 1 species
UACGAAGGGGGCUAGCGUUGUUCGGAAUUACUGGGCGUAAAGCGCGCGCAGGCGGCCAUUCAAGUCAGGGGUGAAAGCCCAGAGCUCAACUCUGGAACUGCCCUUGAAACUGUAUGGCUUGAGUAUGAGAGAGGUGAGUGGAAUUCCCAGUGUAGAGGUGAAAUUCGUAGAUAUUGGGAAGAACACCGGUGGCGAAGGCGGCUCACUGGCUCAUUACUGACGCUCAGGCGCGAUAGCGUGGGGAUCAAACAGG